rnacentral:rRNA from 1 species
AACGAACGCUGGCGGCAGGCCUAACACAUGCAAGUCGAACGCCCCGCAAGGGGAGCGGCAGACGGGUGCGUAACACGUGGGAACCUUCCCUAUAGUACGGAAUAGCCCAGGGAAACUUGGAGUAAUACCGUAUACGCCCGAAAGGGGAAAGAAUUUCGCUAUAGGAUGGGCCCGCGUAGGAUUAGCUAGUUGGUGAGGUAAUGGCUCACCAAGGCGACGAUCCUUAGCUGGUUUGAGAGAACGACCAGCCACACUGGGACUGAGACACGGCCCAGACUCCUACGGGAGGCAGCAGUGGGGAAUAUUGGACAAUGGGCGCAAGCCUGAUCCAGCCAUGCCGCGUGAGUGAUGAAGGCCUUAGGGUUGUAAAGCUCUUUUGGCGGGGACGAUAAUGACGGUACCCGCAGAAUAAGUCCCGGCUAACUUCGUG